rnacentral:rRNA from 1 species
AUACGGAGGACGCGAGCGUUAUCCGGAUUCAUUGGGUUUAAAGGGUGCGCAGGCGGCCAUUUAAGUCAGCGGUUAAAUCGUGGGGCUCAACCCCAUUCUGCCGUUGAUACUGGGUGGCUUGAUUGCGGUCGAGGUUGGCGGAAUUCGUUGUGUAGCGGUGAAAUGCAUAGAUAUGACGAAGAACACCGAUUGCGUAGGCAGCUGACCAGACCGCAAAUGACGCUCAUGCACGAAAGUGCGGGGAUCGAACAGGAUUAGAUACCCUGGUAGUCCGCACAGUAAACGAUGAAUACUUGUUUUCGGCGAUAUAAUGUCGGAGGCAAAGCGAAAGCGAUAAGUAUUCCACCUGGGGAGUACGCCGGCAACGGUGAAACUCAAAGGAAUUGACGGGG